rnacentral:misc_RNA from 1 species
GAUGAAGAACGCAGCGAAAUGCGAUACUUGGUGUGAAUUGCAGAAUCCCGUGAACCAUCGAGUCUUUGAACGCAAGUUGCGCCCGAAGCCAUUAGGCCGAGGGCACGCCUGCCUGGGUGUCACACGUCGUUGCCCCCCCAUCUACUCCUUCGGGAUUGCGGGGGGCGGAUGAUGGCCUCCCGUGCGCCUCGUCGCGCGGUUGGCAUAAAUGCCAAGUCCUCGGCGACGCACGCCACGACACUCGGUGGUUGCGAAACCUCGGUUGCCCGUCGUGUGCGGUCGUCGCGCAUCGAGGGCUCGAAAAAAUUGCCGGGCUCCGGCUCGGCUUUCAACGCGACCCCAGGUCAGGCGGGGUUACCCGCUGAAUUUAAGCAUAUCAAUAAGCGGAGGA